AACGAACGCUGGCGGCAUGCCUAACACAUGCAAGUCGAACGAGACCUUCGGGUCUAGUGGCGCACGGGUGCGUAAGGCGUGGGAACCUGCCCUUAGGUUCGGAAUAACUCCCCGAAAGGGGUGCUAAUACCGGAUAAUGUCUUCGGACCAAAGAUUUAUCGCCGUUGGAUGGGCCCGCGUGGGAUUAGCUAGUUGGUAGGGUAAAAGCCUACCAAGGCGACGAUCCAUAGCUGGUCUGAGAGGAUGAUCAGCCACACUGGGAAUGAGACACGGCCCAGACUCCUACGGGAGGCAGCAGUGGGGAAUAUUGGACAAUGGGCGAAAGCCUGAUCCAGCAAUGCCGCGUGAGUGAUGAAGUCCUUAGGGUUGUAAAGCUCUUUUACCCGGGAUGAUAAUGACAGUACCGGGAGAAUAAGCGCCGGCUAACUCCGUG
rnacentral:rRNA from 1 species